UUUUAUUAGUAAGAAGAAGAGAAAUUGAGAGGGGAGGGAGAGAUAGAGACAGAGAGAGAAUGAGAGACACCUGCAGACCUGCUUUACUACAUGAAGCUGUCCUCCAUGAAAGUGGGGAGAAGGGACUCCAAACCUGGUCCUUGCAUGUGGUAAUUUGUGUGCUCAACUGGGUGUACCACCACCUGGCCUAUAUAUAUAAGGUUUCUAUGAGUAUGUAAUUAAAGACUCCCUCUUUUUAACAAAGUAACUUCAAGGGUGGAGGGUAGAUAGCAUAAUGGUUAUGCAAACAGACUUUCAUGCCUGAGGCUCCAAAGUCCUAGGUUCAAUCCCCCGCACCACCAUAAGCCAGAGCUGAACAGUGCUCUGGUUAAAAAAUAAAAAAAUAAAAAAAUUAAAAAAGUAACUUCAAGAUUAAACACUCGAGUGUUUUAUGUAUUCUGUCAUGCCAUCCUUACAAGAGUAUGACACAUACUUAUCAUCUUGCCUUCCUGUGUCAAGAUACCGAGACUUGUUAAAUUUCAGCCUUGUCCUAGAGCAGACCUUGUCAAGACAUGUACUCAAGUUUCCCUGAUUCCAUUGAAUGUAGCAUUUAAGAAGAUGGCACCAAACAUGCUUCACUUCAGACUGUGUCCAGAGACUCCAGGUGUAGAACGACAACCCUUCAGCUUCAUCACUCGGCCACCAGGUUCCAGAUGCCAUCAGGAUGCCAGCCAGGUUUCCCUGGACUGAAGACCCCACCAAUGCAUCCUGGAGCUCAGCUUCCCCAGAGACCCACCCUACUAGGGAAAGAGAGAGGCAGACUGGGAGCAUGGAUUGAUCAGUCAACACCCAUGUUCAGCGGGGAAGCAAUUACA